rnacentral:rRNA from 1 species
AACGAACGCUGGCGGCAUGCCUAACACAUGCAAGUCGAACGAGACCUUCGGGUAUAUUGGCGCACGGGUGAGGAACGCGUGGGAAGCUGCCAUUAUGUGCGGAACAACUCCCCGAAAGGGGUGCUAAUACCGGAAAAUUUCUUCGGACCAAAGAUCUACCGCCAUCGGAGGGGCCGGCGUUGGAUUAGCUGGUUGGUAGGGUAAACGCCUACCAAGGUGGCGAUCCAUAGCUGGUCAGAGAGGAUUAUCAGCCACACUGGGACUGAGACACGGCCGAGACUAUUACGGGAUGGGGGCGAGGGGAAUGUAGGCAAGUGGGGGGAAUCAUGAACCAGCUAUGGCGGGUAAGUAAUGACGGCGUUGGGGUUGUGAAUCUCUUUUACACGGGAUGAUAAUGACGGUACCGGGAGAAUAAGCACCGGCUAACUCCGUG